AAAGUCGUAACAAGGUUUCCGUAGGUGAACCUGCGGAAGGAUCAUUACAGAGUUCAUGCCCUUACGGGUAGAUCUCCACCCUUGAAUAAUAAACAUUGUUGCUUUGGCGGACCGCUUCGGCUACUGGCUUCGGCUGGUAAGUGUCCGCCAGAGAACCAUAAACUUUGAAUUACAGUGUCGUCUGAGUACUAUAUAAUAGUUAAAACUUUCAACAACGGAUCUCUUGGUUCUG
rnacentral:misc_RNA from 1 species